rnacentral:rRNA from 1 species
AUUGAACGCUGGCGGCAGGCCUAACACAUGCAAGUCGAACGAGUGGCGGACGGGUGAGCAAUGUCUGGGAAACUGCCUGAUGGAUGGGGAUAACUACUGGACACGGUAGCUAAAACCGCCUACCUUCGGAUGUGCCCAGUUGGGAUUAGCUAGUAGGUGGGGUAAAGGAUCACCAAGGCGACGAUCCCUAGCUGGACUGAGAGGAUGACCAGCAACACUGGAACUGAGACACGGUCCAGACUCCUACGGGAGGCAGCAGUGGGGAAUAUUGCACAAUGGGCGAAAGCCUGAUGCAGCCAUGCCGCGUGUAUGAAGAAGGCCUUCGGAUUGUAAAGUACUUUCAGCGGGGAGGCGUUACCAGCAGAAGAAGCACCGGCUAACUCCGUGCCAGCAGCCGCGGUAAUAC